rnacentral:rRNA from 1 species
AUUGAACGCUGGCGGCAGGCCUAACACAUGCAAGUCGAGCGAGCGGCGGACGGGUGAGUAAUGUAUGGGGACUGCCCGAUAGAGGUGGCUACCUACUGGAAACGGUAGCUAAUACCGCAUACUAUCGGAUAACCCAUAUGGGAUUAGCUAGUAGGUGAGGUAAUGGCCAACCUAGGCGACGAUCCCUAGCUGGUCUGAGAGGAUGAUCAGCCACACUGGGACUGAGACACGGGCCAGACUCCUACGGAGGCAGCAGUGGGGAAUAUUGCACAAUGGGCGAAAGCCUGAUGCAGCCAUGCCGCGUGUAUGAAGAAGGCCCUAGGGUUGUAAAGUACUUUCAGUCGGGAGGCGUUACCGACAGAAGAAGCACCGGCUAACUCCGUGCCAGCAGCCGCGGUAAUAC